GUGGCGCUUGCUUGGCAGUAUUUAAAUGUUGAUUUUCUUCUGUCUUCCUCCGGAGUGCAUUUCUGCGCUUGUCCACGAGAGGUCCCCACAGGCUCCAAACUGGGUUUCAUCGGACUCGGCGCCUCAACUAGCGCGGAGUGCGUAGGCCCCGCCGGAGCGCAGGGCGUGAUGACGUCACGAGGAGCCGGGACGGUUUCUGCCCAAACUCUCCCUGUUUGCCCCCAGCUGAGUCGCCUUCCAGACCCACGAGGCUCACGUCCAACGGCUGUCCAGUGCGUCCCGCGCGAGGGAAGAAAAGCUGCGAACGAGGGAGGUGGAGCUAGGCUGUUGGGCUUAAAAUAAAACCGAAUCAUGGGAUCCAGCCUUCCUUAUCAGGGCUCGGGAAUGGAUAACAGGACUUUUGAGUCAUCACUGGAAUAAACUCAUUAAAGCCUCUUCAUAACGCCAUAUCUGUAACUGAAGGUGGGCGAGAAUGGCAAAGGAAGAAAACAGGGCUCCAAGGAAGUAGAGGAUGGCGCCCAUCACCUCCUUGGAUACCAGGACAUCUUUUGGGAGCGCCUCCAGCGUCACUUCAUGUCCUUUGUCUAGAGCCCCUUCAAGCUGUGAGGAAAGGAAAAACAGAUGUGGAGGAGGUGGGCUUGCCCCUCUUGCUUUUUCCUUGGAGGAGGGGACGACGGGGUUUGGACGCUGAUUCACUCUGCCUGUAGCUUGGUAUGAGAGCCAGCUUCACGGGCAUGCAACCUGUCAAGUUGCACAUGGCCCCAUGCUUGGUUUAAUGUUGAAUAAUUCUUAGUACUUUUUAAACAAGGAGCCCUGUAUUUUCAUCUGGCGCUGGGGACCCGUAGAUUAUGUUGCAGGUCCUGCUUGUUACCAUUGGGCCUAACCCAUUAGUCCCAUCAGGGACCGACCCCAUGCCCACUCCUGACCCCACCACGGAGAGUCCCCGGCAGGUAGCCAGUACGAGAUUGAGUUUCCUGGAAAUCUCCCGCAGUCAUUGGAGGACUGAGUCCCCGGCCGCACCCCUCGGACUCCAUGAACCACUAGAUCUAGGGCCUGACCCACUUGGCAGAGAGAUGAGGAGUGAUCAGCUAGCUACUCCUGCAGUUAGAGAAAAGGGGCUCCCUGGCAGAGGGGGAGCAGGUCUCCCGGUUCGGAGUGGGGACUCCCUUAGGGAAGGGGUCCAGUCUCUCCCUGAGCCUAAAGAAGACUCCUUGGAGCGGACUGCCGCGCGGGCUGAGAUCUCAUUGGACUAGGAGGUUGGCCACGCCCCAUCCCAGCCACACCCGCCCCCGCCCCGCCCCCAGCCGUCUUAAGCCCCGCCCCUAGCUCCCUUAGUCCUGUCAUCACCACCCGCGCCUCGCCUCCGGCGCUCACUGUCUGUCCCCCAUCACUUUAGCCCCGCCCCCGACCUCCCCAAGUUCACCCCAUGCAAUCCCGGUCUGUCCCGCAGCCGCCUAAGUCCCUCCUCUGGCCUCCACAGCCCUAAGGUCAACCGGGCAGCCUUCUCCUGAACUCUCAUCACUCCGCCAGGGCCCCGCCCUCACUGUGUCCUCCAGCCCCGCAGCGUCCAGUCCUUUCCUUAGAGGCCCGCCAUUCCCAGGUCAGGCCCUUCAGCGCCAGCAGCUCCUCCACCUCGGCCUGCAGCGCCAGACACCUCGUGUGUCUGGGGGGUGGGGGCCGGCUCAGGCCUGGACUGAGCUUUGAGUACAGGACAGUGGUGACCAGGACCCUCCUCACUCCACCGGCUCGACGUGACUGCACCCAGUGAGCCCCGCACAGAGGCCCCUUCUGGGGCUUGGGGUCCUGUGCCCUCCCUCACGUACCCCUCCCCAGGGGAUCGAGUCUGCAACCCAGGCGUAUGCCCUUGACCAGAAUGGAACCCAGGACCCUUCAGUCCGCAAGCCGACGCCCUAUCUGCUGCACCAAACUGGCCAAGGCUGCAAUGCUUUUUGUAAAUACUUUUAAUAACGUCCCUGCCUGCUGUCAGGUUGUGGUUUCUCACUGCUGUUAUUCUGACUGUCUGUAAUCUACUUUUUGCUGCUUCAGAUGUAUUGCUUCUAACUUGCUGUAGGCAGGAAACCAUAGUUCCAAAGUUAUUAGAACUCUAUGUAAAGUAAGAUUUUAAAAAAUUGGUAAAAUAAAUAGGUUCUGAGUAAGUGUUCCUGUGAACAAAGUACAUGGGCCUUAGUCGGUGUUUGCUUCAGACGACCUUUCUGGGCUCACGUGGCCCCUGUGCACAGCUUGUCACCCUGGCUGUCAUCCCUGAUACACUCACCUGCAGGUCCCCAAGGAUGGGCACCAUGACUUUCUCAUCUUUGUGUCUGCAGUGCCUGCCACAUAGUAGGAACUCAAUAAAUGUUCGAAGGAAUGAGUGGACCUGUGGCGGCAUCUCUUUUGGCAGCUUGGACGCCUUGCUCUGCUUUGUUUGCUGCAGUCCUGACUGGGGGCAACGCUCCUCCUAGGCAGGAGAGAGUCCCAGGGAGACGAAGUAAACCCGUUUCUAGUUGGAACUCCCCUUAGUCUAAUGGGGAGGCACCGUCCCUCCCCGUGGGAUAAGCUGCCCGAGUUGCUGCCGGUUUUGAUGCUGACAUCCCUCACUCUGUAGGGGAG